AGGAGAUCCAUUCUGUUUGAGUAUUUGGUGAGCCCUGAUCUUUGGGAUGGGCCAUUAACACUCUAAACAACAGGGAUUCAUGUGCAGGAAAUGCCUCAAGAAGAAAAGAAAACAUAACAAGAAGUUGCCAUUAUCUAAGUUUAGACAUUUCAGCAUCAAGCAACACUCAUUCUACAGCAUAUUAAUUGUCGGAAUAAACCUGGGAUGCUGUUAUGUUUACACUUCCUACCCAGCAGUACUCGCCAUGUAGAUAUGUUCCUCCUGUUCAGUUACACAGACGCAGAGAAUGUGCCGUAGUUGAAUUCAGCUGUUCAAUAGCCAAAGAGGAGUUGUGGAAUUACAAGGACUUUUGAAACUUGAUACUUCACAUGUAUUGUAAUAUGUAAUGUACUUUUGGGACACAGAUACAAAUGCUAACAUUAAAUAGGUCAAAAAAAGCAUUACUUUAUUUGCAGAUGUUUAUGUAAUUUUGAGAUAU
ensembl:lncRNA